UACGUAGGGGGCAAGCGUUGUCCGGAUUUAUUGGGCGUAAAGAGCGUGUAGGCGGCCAGGUAGGUCGGUUGUGAAAACUGGAGGCUUAACCUCCAGACGUCGACCGAAGCCAUCUGGCUAGAGUCCGGAAGAGGUGAGUGGAAUUCCUGGUGUGGCGGUGAAAUGCGCAGAUAUCAGGAAGAACACCCGUGGCUAAGGCGGCUCUCUAGUACGGUACUAACGCUGAGACGCUAAAGCGUGUGGAGCGAACAGG
rnacentral:rRNA from 1 species